rnacentral:rRNA from 1 species
UGAGGAAUAUUGGUCAAUGGGCGGGAGCCUGAACCAGCCAAGCCGCGUGAGGGAGGAAGGCCCUAUGGGUCGUAAACCUCUUUUGUCAGGGAACAAAAGCGAGUAUGUAUACUAGUCUGAGUGUACCUGAAGAAAAAGCAUCGGCUAACUCCGUGCCAGCAGCCGCGGUAAUACGGAGGAUGCGAGCGUUAUCCGGAUUUAUUGGGUUUAAAGGGUGCGUAGGCGGCGGUGCAAGUCAGCGGUAAAAGCCCGGGGCUCAACCCCGGCGAGCCGUUGAAAACUGCAGUGCUAGAGAAGGCGAGAGGUACGCGGAAUGCGCAGUGUAGCGGUGAAAUGCUUAGAUAUUGCGCAGAACUCCGAUUGCGAAGGCAGCGUACUGGCGCCUGACUGACGCUGAGGCACGAAAGCGUGGGGAUCGAACAGGAUUAGAUACC